rnacentral:misc_RNA from 1 species
AAGUCGUAACAAGGUUUCCGUAGGUGAACCUGCGGAAGGAUCAUUAACACGUAUCCAAACGUUAAAAACCCUGUGAACUUUCAUGCAGCUCCCGUAACCCGCAAGGAACAGCAAUCCCGGUAAAUCAUUGUUGAACAGUUUUGAUUCGGGACCUCUGUACAGUUACGGUCGUAGCUUAGAGUCAGUGGCAUGGCUUCCCCAAGCAGUAGUGAAAUGACAUUGUCACUAUCUGUGUAAGGAUAACGCCUCACGGUUGCUAGAGGUCGAUCACCGGCCGACAAACAUGUCACAGGGCUAUAUGCCCCCUAACCACCCCUUGCACGAAUGUCUCGCCUAGUGGUCACGCGCUUGGCACCAAAACGAACAACUGUUAACAAUGGAUAUCUUGGUUCUC